rfam:Cricetulus griseus cell line CHO-K1, whole genome shotgun sequence.
AGGGGUGAGGAUGAUCUGGCUGCCUAGGCAGGAGGAGCUUUCCUUCUUCACCAUCCCAUGUGUGUCCCUCCCAGAGCUGCAUGCUCGGUCAAAGGCAACCUUUCCUGAUAGAGCAGGUCCAAUCUUCGUCAAAGAUGCAUGGGGAGCUAUACUCCUGCUAGAAGCUCCAAACAAGGGCUCAAGGAAUUUCUGUUGCUGGUCUUGGUAGUCCAUGACUUUAAUCCUAAUACUAAUAAGGCAGAGGCAGGUAGAUCCCUGUGAACUGAGGUCCAGCCUGGUUUA